GAUGAACGCUGGCGGCGUGCCUAAUACAUGCAAGUCGAACGCAUUGUGGUUGAAAUGAUAUGAAGAACUUGUUCAGAUUUGAUUUUCAACAUUGCAAUGAGUGGCGAACGGGUGAGUAACACGUGGGAAACCUACCUCUUAGCAGGGGAUAACAUUUGGAAACAAAUGCUAAUACCGUAUAAUAAUUAAAAACCGCAUGGUUUUAGUUUAAAAGAUGGUCUUGCUAUCACUAAGAGAUGGUCCCGCGGUGUAUUAGUUAGUUGGUGAGGUAAUGGCUCACCAAGACAAUGAUACAUAGCCGAAGUUGAGAGACUGACCGGCACAAUGGGACUGAGACACGGCCCAUACUCCUACGGGA
rnacentral:rRNA from 1 species